CUGCUGGCAGCGACUCAAGAGACACAUGCGCCGCAGCUACGUAUUCAGUCUUUGAGUAACUGCGUCUGCGUGACCUGCACGACGAUCCGAGGAUCGCACGACCAAUGGAUCGGAUCGCUGCUGGAUGGCAUCGAUCGUGGUUCGGCUCUUCGGGCAGAAGAACGAUCGGAGGAUGUGAAAAGUGUGACCCAAACAAGAACAGACACAAGAGCUGGAAAGUGUGUGAAGAAAAUUAAUUACAGAACAUUGAAAAGAUGGUGACUUGAAUGCUUAAACUAAGAGCUGAACGAAUGCUGCCGAUCGAGGCUGUGCUGUGACAGUAGUUGAUGGAUCUCUGACUCAACUGGAGGCAAUUUCAUUUAACUUAUGGAUUGCGAAGGCGGCGGCGACCAGCCCCACCAAACAGGAGGAGUUGCAGCAGCAGCAGGAGGAGAUGUGGUGGUGGUGGGCCAGCAGCCAGCAGUCGCCAGAAGUUGCCGACGACGACGACGACGACGACAACGCGCUUGCUCCCCAGCGCACAGCACAAUGUGUGCGCGAGGCUUUAAGAAAUGCCGAAUUCCAGAAGCCGCAGUACAAUCAGUUGAAUUAAAAAACGAGCGCACAGACAGAAGACGACAUGGAUGUGGAUGUGGCUGUGGCUGUGGAUGUGGCAGAGGCUGUACGUCUGGACCUGGACGAUAUCAUCGCGUGGUGAGCGCGCGCGCAGGCGCAGGCGCAGCUGCUGCUGCCGUUGGGGACUAGGAAAUUAAGAGGACAUUGUGGCGGCAUGCGGUUAGAACUUGCAGCGGCGGCUUAAACACAAAAUCCGCCAAGACACACACACACAGGGAGAGAGAGAGGGAGAAGUUAACCCAAAGCCAAGAUUCUUUGCGUGGCUGCGUUGUUGGUGGCUUUUGGACAGCUGGACGAUGCCUGACAGAGGUCGCCCUCGUACGUAAUCGACGAGCAUUGCGAAUGCUUUUGUCCUCCUCCUGCUGCUCCUUGCAUCUUGUGCUGCGCACGUGGCCAACUUGGUGACGCAGCAGCAGCAGCAGGAGCAAGCAGCAGCAAAUCAUUGAAAUGUCGUUAGAGGCUCGAGCGGCACGCAGGCAUCGAUAGUCAGCGGAACCGCAAAAUGCUUUUAAUUUCUCAAACUGAUAUGCACUCGUGCUCCCUCUGGAGGCGGAGGACUACAGGAAUCGCUUCGGGAGCUGCUACGCUGGCAAAAUGAAUCAGCGGGGGCACAAGUUGCUGUGUGCAGAGUCAAGUAAGGGGACUGAAGGUGGCAGCAGUACCUAAAAAGUACAAGACAAUGUGCAGGGAGAGUAAAAGAAAGAGAAAACUUUACAGCAGACUCCCAACUAGACUACAACAUAAAUAUGAGGAAAUUAAAAUAGAAAUUAUUUGUGGGAGUUUGGAACUUUUCUUUUAAGUUUUCGAUUAAUAAAAGAGUACAUUUGGUGGAGUAAAAGCGCUGCAAAUGUACUUGGAAUGAGUGCCGUGAGGAAGGGUAAACAAAUUCUAGUGAACUUUACAGACAAUCCAUAUUUAAAUACAAAUUAAAGCUCACAUAAGUUUUAAACUCUUUCAUUGUAUACUUUUCAAUUGUACUCCAAUCUUUAUGUAUUAAAUGUCGAAAUUAAAAGCCAA